rnacentral:rRNA from 1 species
AUGGUUGAGGGGUCUGCUCAGGACGUAGCUAACCUGAAGUUUCUCCUCCUGUGCUUCCAACAGAUGUCGGGUGUAAUGAUUAACUUCGAUAAGAGCGAAGUGAUGGUUCUUGGCUACCCCCCGGUGGAAGCUCAGGCUAUCACGGACUGACUUAAUUGUCGGUUGGGUUCUUUCCCCAUGACCUACCUGGGGAUCCCCAUUAGUGAUUCGCGCCCCACCGUGGCGGACCUUUGCCCCACGGUGACCCAUGUGCAACAUCACGUUGAGCCCUGGAAAGGGUGCUGGUUGUCGAAGGCUGCUCAUGUGAUCCUCAUCAACUCCUCGCUCACCAGCCUUCUCUGGUUCCUCAUGAGCUUCUAUAGCCUUCAUGAGACGCUCCAUAAGGAAAUUGCUAAGUACCAGUCUAGAUUCUUCUGGGCUAGCAAGGAUGACAAGCAAAAGUACCACAUGGUGAGCUGGCCGGACAUCUGCAAACCCAAGGACCAGGGUGGUCUUGGGAUUUUGUCCUCCCGGCGCAUGAACAUUGCCCUCCUAACCCGGUGGCUCUAG